UCGGCAGAGGGAGUAGUCAGUUGCGAGUUGCACUCUGUCGGCAGUAGUAGUCUGGUGCAGUUGCGUAUAGCGAGUGGACGGUUGUACUGAGCGGCCGUCGGCAUGCGUCGUCGGCGUGCUCUCCUUGCAUCUCUGGUCACGGUUCGGGACGAGGUAUAUUGUUAUAGAAGAUGCCGGCGUAAAUGUUUUGAGAAGUUCUCAUUUGCUGAGAAGGAACUAUUGUUGACAGAAUUCAGCAAUACGCCCAACAAAGAUGGACAGGAUGGGUACUUGAGUGCUCACAUACUUCCGUUAUUUCCGAAAGCAAGAAGACCAUGCCCAAAUUCCAUUACCAAUCGUGGAAGGACAGCAAAUUAUUAUUAUAAGAUGACGACGACGACGACGUCCACGACGACGACUACGACGACGACCACGAAACCGACGAUAGGUGACGGCGACGACGACGACUAUGGUGAUGAUGAUGAUGAUGAUAUGAAUGAACAGCGUCGAUUAUAACAGACGAAGACAUUUUGAUAUCGUUCAGAGAUAAAAAGAUCAAAUCAAUGUUGUCGACGACAACAAAUUUAAGAAUGAAGUAAACGUUGCAGUUCCGGUCUUCACUACAUGAGUAACAUCUUGAAAAAGUAUGCGCAGGUCUACUAGGGAACUCAUGAACUUUCUGUACAGCUGUGUCUCAUUCGACAUUUUCGCCACAAGGAAAGCUGCGUGAGCCAUAUCGUAAAAAUGGCUUCCACCCGGGAGAAAGCCCAAUGUGUUGUGUGGCUUCCAGAAACCAAAUCACCGAUUACUAUGCAGCGGAAGUUUGUGCCCUUUUAUGGAAAGAAAGAAUAUGAUGUCAAGUUAAUCAGAAAAUAGCUGGAAACUUUUUCAGCGACGGAGAUGGUUAAAAAACGGACAAGCAGCGGCAGAUCAUCCAUUUUGGAGGAGAAAGUGCAGACAUUUCAAACCGCAUUCACGAGGUCGCCAAAGAAAUCGAGUUCAGUGCCUAAAGUGGUUCGCAAACGUCUUAAAUUGUAUACAUACAAGGUCCAGAUUGUUCAGGCAUAACAACCAGAUGAUCGCCGAAAACAUGAAUAAUUUGCAACGGACAUGCUUAAGAGCUAGGAUAAAGACAAUGUUUCUUGAAACGUGUCUGUUUUUGCAAUGAGGCUACGUUUCAUAUUUGUGGCCCAAUUGACCGCCAUAAUGUGCGGAUCUGUGGAUCAGAAACUCCUCAUGUCGUAUGAGAACACAUUCGGGACAGUUCAAAGAUUAAUAUGUGGUGUGGCUUAAUGCGUGAUCGAAUGACUGGUCCAUUUCUCUUCCUUGAAAGCAAUGUAAGUGGAUAUGUUUACCUAGACAUGUUGGUGAAUUACGCCGUUCCCCAAGUACAGGAUAUGCAAGACACUAUCUUCUUUCAGCAAUUCCCCAACAGGUGGAUUGGCAGAGACAGUCCAAUUCCAUGGUCCCUGAGAUCAACUAAUAUUACCCUUUUAGAUUUUUUCUUUGGGAGUAAGUGAAAGACACUGUGCAGCAAACAGCGGUUCCUGACAUUGUGACAUCGCAACAACGCAUCAGGGAUGCUACGGAGACAACCAGAUCAGACAUGUUGCAGAAUAAGUAGCAAGAGAUUGAAUACCGACUUGAUAUUUUACCAGACGUGCAAAUGUUGAAGUGAUUUAAAUGUUGAAGUGUAUUACCUGUAUUAAAAUUUAUGUAAAAAUUCAAAACAUAAUGAGUAGAGGCAUAUGUGGUAAAACGUAUGAUUCAUUUGCUGUAUCCAACAAAGAUUACAUUGUUUUGUUAUCAGGCUAAAUUUUUAUGGACAGCCUGUAUUUCCUAAUAGUGUUCUCGCACAAGAGGUGCUAAAAAUCUGAAAGCAAGACGGUAUUUAAGGUUUUAGAAUACCUGAACAAAGAAAAAGCCUACGUUGUGCAUAAACAAGGACGUAAAUAAAACAAGACCAUUUUUAUGAAAAUUGUUUCAACGCUGAAAAGUCAUUUCUACUGAACGAUAAAAAUAGUUUUCGAUGCUAUCUGCCACAUAGAAAGAAAACAAGAAGCAAAAGAUAAAGUGGAAAGAGCGCUAUUUACUGUGGUCUAGUUAUUGUUUGAUGUGU